GGGGCGGAGCUGCUGCCUUUAUGGCAGGGCAGCAGGGGGUGAAGUGGAGCCAGGACAGGUGGCCCGAAUGAGGCAAUUAGGCCAGCCAUGACCCAUCACACCGAAGGGCAUAAAGCUGUGAAGGAGUUGGCCGAGAGGUAACAAUGUGGAUCGUCUGCUGGUGAGCGGAGGGAGGUUUUGUCUUGCUGGUGGAGUGUCUAAUGGCUGCUGUGCAUUAGUCAGCAAGUGCUGAAAUUCUGAGUGACAAGCAUCAUUUCUAAGACCACAAUUUCACUUGGAAAAGUGGAGCAGAGUUGGAGGAGGAGAUGGAGGAAGAGAGAUUAAACAACUCAGAAAACAGAUGGAGAAAUGGAAUAGAAUCACUACUGGCACCUCAGGGCCUCUGUGGGCAGUUGGACUCCCUCUCUCCAGUGUCUCUUGGUGCUCAAUGACGUGACAUAGUCCCUGCUGUGGUCAGUGAGUAGGAGGCUGAAGUACAACAGAAAAGAUGCACUGAUUCCAUCUGUUGAUAUAUGCUGAAGUGGAGGGAUGACUGAAAUAGAACCUGCUCCAGUACUCAGACUUGCUGCACUGAAGGAAACCCCACUCUUUCUGAUACAACUUUCACUUUCAGCAUGACAAAUUUGGUCAGCUAGUCCUCAAUGGAAACUUUACUUUGCACAGCAGCUGCAGUUAUGAAUCUCAAACCAAAGAAAGAAAAGGAGAGGUAAAGUAUUCAUGUGGAGCCCUCAAGGAGUCAAAAUAAUAGCACUUUGAAAAAACCCAAACUCAUCCUUCAGUAACUUCCAACUUGAAUCUUCAGGUUUAACUUUAAAAUCACCUCAGUGGAUAUUUUCAACAUUGGACAGCAAGGCAUACAUUUUCAUAAAAUACAAAGGAAAAAGUAAUACGAAAGCAAAGAAACAUCAAUCUUCUGGUAAGUUCAAAUAUGCUAUUUUUAUGCUGUGAGACUGUGGAAGGUGAGAUGCAGCCUCACUUUAGUAGUGUGCUGAUAAUCUAUGUUUAUGUUUUAAAAAAGCACAAGGCACAAACAUUAUUUUCAAAGACUGGAUGCUUUCUCCCUUUCUGUACUAAGUUUGUGCUUAUGUCUUGUAUAAUGAUGUCUUAUGAGUUUAAUUUUCAAAUACCAUUUUUAAAUGUACAUUCAGCUACAGUUGUUGAAGUGGGGAAAAAAAUAAAGGUUUCCAUGCAAAAUUUAGCACCAUUCCAUCAAGGUUUAUAUAAGAGACCCAAUCAGGCCAGGAUCCAUCAACUGGAAUCUUCAAGAAACUCUUGGGUAGUUCUUUUCCUCAUUUUUGCUGCCACCACCGAUGAGCAACUUGGUUUUCCUUUACGAAGUUCACUCCUUACUCUGCCAAAAGAGUCUUGGCAAAUAUUUUUUACAUGAAACAGACGGUCUGUAAUUAAAUGCUUGUAGAUGGCUGAACACAGUGCAUUAUGAAUGCUCUGGGACAUAUAAACAUCCUACAAGAAGAAUUUUGUCUAUAAUAUGAGUGAUCAAAAUGAAUGAAUUCUAAGCACAAUUUGAUAAAAUCUGUAAGACAACACAGCAACACUUCUGUCCCAUUAAAACUACUGUGAGAGUACUAUUGUUCUACCGUACCUUUAAAAAGCUCUGGAGAUCACCAAAGAAAGGAAGAUUUUUCAUGUUUUACUCCAGAGAAAAGAGCCAAUGCACCCCAAAGCACAGCUCAGGCAAAAGAACAUACAUGAAACCUGUAAACAUUAACAGCAAUUCUUCUGGAUGUAGGAUCUGAAUGUUUUUGCUUUCUUCCCCCAAAUAAUCCAGUCCUUCCUUUCUGCAGAUCUUGUAUCAGUAGGCUUAUAGUAAGGUUGAUCAACUGUUAACUUUUCAAUUGUGAUUUUGACUUGUGCACCACUUUGCAGCAACAGAUGAAAGAUACAAGAAUUCUUCCACUGCUUGCCUGAGAAGUGGAGUGAAGCAUUUGUGGAUUCUGUGCCAUGUUAAUAUGGACAGGUAGCUUCAGUGGAAUACUUCCCAUUGUGAAGAUGUAUCUACAGGACUUCUGGAUGAGAGUAUUCAUCUUGACCAAUCUUUAGCAUGUACACAUUAUGCAUUGCCCAAGUGCAACUUUCUCAUUUGAUCCCAGUUUCCAAAUGACUUUCCAUUAUCUCAAGCUCUAAUAGAUUACUUAGUGUAGUCUGUAUGUAUAAGUCUAUAUGUCUAGUAUUAGAUAUGGAGGUUGGUGGCCCUGCAUGCGGCAGGGGGACUGGAGCUUGAUGAUCCUUGAGGUCCCUUCCAACACAAGCCAUUCUAUGAAUCUGUGAAAAAAGUAAACAUAAUGCACCUGAAUUGCCACUCCCAAGAAAAGCAACAUGACUCCAGCUUAAGGGCAUAUACCGGCUCAUGUGGGAGCAUGUUUAAAACGGGUUGGGAAAUGUUGAAUAUUUGGUUUUGAUUGAAAAAAAAUAUUUUGACAUUUCGGAACUGAUUUUUUUUCUAAACGUGUUGGUCUUUGGAUGAAAAUAGUUUUAAAAAUAUCAGCUUCUUUCCCUAUGAAGGAAAUUUCAUCUGUCAACUGGCUGUACCAUCCAAAACUAGUCAAAGGCAGGAAUAAGUAGAAAACACAUGUCCUAAAUAGGUACCUCUCUGUCUAUUGCUGAGCCCAAGUUUAGCUCAAAUGGAAUCGUUUGGAUUGGGUUGCUUGUCUUUUUUUAAUGGCCUAAUUUUGUAGCAGUAGCCAUGACUAUCAUAACAACCAAAACAAGAAAAACAUGGAAUUGGACUUAGAGUUAGUACAUUUUGUCUGCCUGUGAAGACAAAGUCCAACUCAAACCUCUCACUCCUAAACACAUGCUAAUUUUUUAGAUUUGACUGGAUUUUAGGUUUUAAGAUGCACAGCUUCUAAUGUAAAUCUCUCUCUGCUACCAUUAACUACAUCAGAUACAGUUAUGAGGAAUGAUCUGUAGGCUUACAUAUUUCUCUAACAGGUUCUAUACCACCUUGGAGUUAUUCAGUUACAAAGAGAGAGAAAGAAACUGUUUUUAUGCCAAAUCCUUUGUCCUCCGUAAUUUUGGGAGCAUGUGGGAUUUCUGCCUGGCAGGUCAUUCUGCUCUGAUUUCUAAGGUUCCUUCAUUAGGAGGUGUAGUGGAAAUGCUAAGUCAUGGCCUGAAACAGUGAUUGAGCACCUGGUGGGAAGGCAGGGCCAACCCAGGAGAGCUCAGCUGCAUGCAAUCCACCUGAGUGAUUGGAAGGGUUGCAGUCAGGAUCCACCCCUUCCCAGACCUCAUUUAAGGGUUGGCAGUAGAGGCAAAGGUAUUGUGCUGGAGAUCCCUGCCUACUGGAGGUCUUCUAAAGGUAAGCAGUUUUUCUUCUUCUGUUUCUGUGUUCCCACCUGCUGUAUUUGGGCUUGUUCUCAUUUGCUGCAGCCUAGGAUAGUGUUACUCUGCUACUAUUGCUAUACUUUCCAUCGUGUUAUAGGUGAGAUAGCUGAUAGUCGCUCAGUCUGAAAGAGACCUGCUCAUCAUUUCAAUCCAGUGGCAAUGGGUUCCCCUGAGUGUCUCCCUUCUUCCACACAUUUCUUCCUCUUUAUGUUCCUAAUGCUAGGACCUGCAAAGUAUCCUGCAUGAGUUUUGCUAUCAACAUCUCUGUUCGGUAGCUACAGCAGAGGAUUUCUCUUCCAGCCGUACACAGAUACUUGUAUUCCCUGUUUCUUAAUAUAUUGAAAAGUAAAGGUAUUUGACUCAGCAUCCUGGCUGAUCUUUACUUACCUCCAUGAAACACUUUUUCUGCCUAAUAAGUAAAAACUCAGAGAAUGUGAAGGACAACCUGCAAAAGAGAGUAGGCAUGGCAUGACUACAUGCAACUGUGAAAGGAAACUUGCAAUAUUUAUUGUCCCCUUUCUUAAGGGUCAGUUUUUGGACCUGGGUUCAUCUAGCUUUAGAAUUUCCCACCACUGCAACACACCAUCUACUUGGAAAGGGGCUAAUCACAGGGUCUUUUUCUAGGUAGUUUGUAGUUACCUCUGUUGGUGUUAAAUUAAUCCCUUCACCUUUCUUCUCUGUUAGGCCUCUCUGCGUUCUUCCACUUACUUAAAAAGCAAAGUAUCUUUGAAUAAAGCUUUCUUAUUUUACAGUAAUUUUGGUGUUAGCACUGGGGAAAUACUUUAGGCACAAGAUUAUUGCCAACAAUCCUUUAUUUUCUGAAAGAAAAAUAGGAUGUUUCUUGGCAACACCAUCUGUGAGAAAUAGGAUCCUCCCAAACAUUUGGGAAAAAUCCCUACUGCCAGCUCCCACACAUCACAUUAUUUUUCCCUUGGUAUUAUGUUGUCUCUUAAAACAAUGACUUACGUGAAGAAGUAGAAACCAACUGAGUCAAAUGCAGACUUUACUUAUAUACUCAUCAUCUGGAGUGAGAGCCACAUCACUGCCAUGGUGUCAGGAAGCCGGAGGCACACAUGUUGGUCCCUUGUACAGGGCCCUAGAGCAAUCUAGGUAUCAAAUGUGUAUGUAAUAGCCUGGUAUUGCUGGUUUAUUGCUAUCUGUGAAAAGCUAUAGGAAGAGGAUUUGUUACCUGGAGCACAACUUCCCAAAUCUCAGUCAGGACUGAGACUGUUCAUGAUUCAGAUCAACAUGUGGGAAGAAAUUAGCUGUCUUUACUAUCAGUGUGUUCAGCCUGUAGUAUAAUACGGCACUGAAUGUGGAGUUACAAGACCUUGUUUCAAGAAAAACUGUUGUGCAAUGUUUCUGGACAUACUGUUUGAUCCUGUUUUCUUUCACUCUGUGCAUGCGUCAUUUCUUUGUCUCCAGUGAACAGCAAAUUGAGUCAUGACUUUGAAUCUUGAAACAGGUGAACUAACUGGGAGGGAGUGAGAUGAUGGACUCAGACACAGCUUGUUUCCCCCAGCUCUCUCCCCUCCAGCACAAAUCAGCUUAAAAGAAGAAAGGAGAGGGAAAAAAAAAAAAAAAAAAAAAAAAAGGAACAAUAAAGUGACUGAGAUGGCAGGGAGUAGAAAGACCUGAUUUUCAUUGAAAUCACUUUCAAAGCAGAAUCUGAAGCAAAAAAAUGGAAACUAUUUGGAAGAAGGGCAAUGUUUUUUUCAGCUAUCCAAAUAGGAAACUGGGAGAGAUGGAGUCUGAACUUCUUGUUGGAAAUGCAUCUUUUGUGAGGGAUAAGAGAGAAUUGUAAGGGACAAAUUGGAGAUGUGAUAGAUUACUUGUGGUUGUGACUCUUCAGCAGAGAAAAGGAAAGGAUGUUAUUAAUUACAGGUUUAUGGAAAAAUCUCAUAAAAGAAAGAAAAGAGUGGUAAACAUGAACAUGACUCAGGGGAUUUAGAAUGUAAUGCAAACCUAAAAAUGUGACCAGUGACAACCAGGCAGACAAACUAUAAAUACAAGUAGUCAUGAGAAGCUGGCCUGGUAUAAAUGACCUUAGGAAUUUGAGGCAGAAAAGCACAUUACAUUCGAGGUGUUGAACCCAAGUCCUAAAUAAAUGCUUAAAACACUCCCAGGAUUGGAUAUUUCUAUUACUGUUUUCACAAAUUUCCUUUCCAGAGAAGUCUGUUCUGGACAGCACGUCUGACCUCCUGUGUUACUCAGGUCAUGUAGUUUCUCCCAGCCAUUUCUUUAUCAAGCCUCAAACCCUGAAGUUGAAUGAGAGCCUAUCUUUCAAAGGGCAGUAUGUCUUGCAUAGAAGAUUCCAGCUGGUAGUUCACAGAGCUCUGGUCAGUUGCGUUUUCCAUUUAAAAGCCCAUCCUGUUUCUGCGUUGAACCUUGUAGCUUUCAGCUUCUAGCUAUUGGGCCUUCACAUGUCUUUGAUUACCAGAUUUAAGUGCUUUAAGGGUUAUUAUUAUUCCCAGCUCUGCAAAUUCCAUCCAUAGGGUAUAAAUGCCAAUGCAGGCAGGAUUAUGAGAGGAGAAACCUCCUCUGUUAACACAGAUGUUGCCCACUGUUUGGAACUUUGCAAAAUCUGGUUCAACAGGCAAAGUGAGCUGAAGAAGAUGAUGGUUUCAAGUAUAAAACUGUAGCAAAUGCAAGUAUUUUCCCUACUUAAGUAGGACUCUCAUGAGAAGAUAGACGUUCCUGAAGUGAGAAAGAUCUUUCCUGUAUACUUAUCAACACAGAGCUGAGUGGAAUUAUUUAAGAUCAACAAUCAACUAGGCAGGAAACUUGAUUACACUGACCAGCUGUACCAAGCUCCUUGCUGCUUUCAUCUUGUGGGGAAAAACCCCCCUCAACUUAUUUAUUUUUAAAAGUGAGAGAAGGAAAGAUUGUCCAGCCCUAAACACUUUGUUUUCAGACUUACUGAAGAAUUCAGUGGUAGGUGCAUUUGGCAUGAGUUUGGAUUCAAACUUAUUUUACGUAAUAUCAGAGUAUUCUCAUGAAACCAGAAGUUAGCCUAUCAAAUUGUAGCACAGAAUAAUUUAAGAUUCCUGUCAAGCUCAUUUGAAAGUAUUUCUUUUUCUGUUCUUUGUGCGAGAUUCCCAUUUGUACCUCUCUGAAACUGAAUAUAAAGAACUCCAUAUAAUCUAUGGUUUACAUUAUUAUUGCACCAGUUUUGAGAAUAAAUCUAUUUUUAAGAUGUACGGUAAAGAACGUACCACAUGUCAAAGAAUUGCUGUUGCACAUUCUCCCUCUGAGCAGCACUACGGCUCUCCUGCCUGUAUUGCAAACAGUUUUUUUUUUAAUAAAAAAAAAAAGCAGGCCUCUUUUCCCAGGCUCCUGUUAGAUGUGAGCUGUCUUCCUGAGAGCUGUAUUUUCAUCUUGCUAUAUUUAAAAAAAAAAAAAAAAGUCUAGUUUUAGCAUAAAGUAAUUACCACAAGCUUAUUAGUGUGCCUGACUCAGGCACUGCAGGCUGGGCAGAUGUCUAAUGUGCACACAUUCUUUGACAAACUUUUAUACAGCCACAGAUGAGUCUGGGGAAAAAAAAAAAAAAGCAUAGCAAUGAAUUCCUGCAGAUGGAUUAAAAAUUAAAAACAAUGAUACCUUCAGAAGAAGACAGCAUGAGGUGUGUAUUAACUCUUUUUUAUCUUCACUACUGAUAGUAAGUGUUAUCUAGAUCUAAGAAUAACAGUCUGUGAAAUGUCUCACACUCCUGAAAGGGGGAUAGCUUUGAAGUUUCUUCUCAUCACUAAAUAGGAUUUCUGCUCUGUGGAGCUCUUUUUUGGAAGGUGCCUCCUGCAGCAGCUUUUCAUUAUUCACCCUUCAGUACCCCCUGCAAGACCUUCCCAUCUCAGCACGCUCCCUAUUGUCCAUAUUCACAUAGAAUGCAAAGGAGGACAGGGAGAAAGCCAUCCACAGCUGAAGGCAACCUGUCCAAGUUCUGCACCAGUAACAUCACACCGAUCAGUGGGGACGUUGCUCUCUAAAGGAUACAGGAUGACAGGAGAAGGGCAAUAACACUUUUUGCAUCCCUGGAUUAUGGGUCCUUUAUUGAUUAUAGCCACAAAUGUAGAUGAAGUAUUAUGAAGCUUGUUUACAGUGUUAUCUGCUUGCCUGCCAGUCAUUGAUUCUCUCUGUUAACAUCUUCACUUCUAAGUACAAGAACAGAAGAAGAGCCUUCAGAUGUUCCAUCUUUAGAUAUCUGCACCUUUAUUGCUGUUAAAACUCAAGUAGGACCUAUUUCAAUAUUUCAAGAAACUGUUCUGGUGACAAAGUUACAGCUUCUGGAAUGGUUGUUUUUACAUACUUAGCAUCAAGAGCAAUCACAGUUUUGAUGAACUUGCCCAGGUUCCUCUUCUGACUGUAUGGGCAAGCUCAGGAUGAGAGAUUUCAGUUCAUACUUUCUUUUUUUGGUCUUUCUGCAAAAGGAUCCUGGAAAGCAGUAGCUUGUUUGCUUUCUACCUUCUGUUGUAUAUAUUGUAAGCAAAAAAAAUAAUAAUAAUUAAAAGACAAGAUCUCCCUUACCAAGAUUUCUCUUCUUUGUUAUGCAAAUAGCAGGCAGACUUUCACUCCUGAUUCUUCUUUCUAAAGGCUUUCUGGUUCAAUGAAUCUGAAUUUGGUUUAUUCCACCAGUGCAUUUUGGAUGUUUACUAAACCAGUGUACGUGCUCGGUCAGACUAGGCAUUUUUCUGUUGGUGGUUUGAGGAAUAGCUGCUACCUUUUUAUUUCCUCUCCCUUUUUUGGGAGGAGAAAUUAAAUUUCUGUUUUUGUACUGACUGGAUUAACCAGAUGGUCUAAACAAAUUCAGACUGUGCGGCCUGAUUGGAAGCUGUCAGACAAAAUCCAGGUCAGAAGCUACAGUUCACUGCUCAUAGAGAUAGCACUCUCUAGGAGUAUGAGACAAGACUAUGGCAGUGUCUUGUCAUCAUCUUAUUGUUGGGGUGGAACCCUCAUAUUCUUGUUGCUUCUUUUUUCCAUACAGACAGGAUUUGUGGGAAAGGUGACAGAUAAUUGUUUUUAUUAUUAUUCUAGAUCAUGCUUACAGCUUCUUUUCCAGUCAGACAAUAAAUAAAUGCAUUUUCUGGUGUCUCCUUUAGGGGCGUUUUUUCAUUGUGAUUCUGUUUUUCAAACUAGGAGGAUGAUGUGAAUCCUUCAGCUCUUAGUGAUGCCUGGUAUAUGCCCACUAGAGGUCUUUUCUCCCUUCUGCAGUAAUUUGUGCCUUACAUAUGAUGCUAUGGCAAUUUCAUUCAGGUCAGAAAUGAGCUUGAAUGCAUUCACCUUAGACGCACUGCUGAUGAAAGCUUUGUUGAAACUUAUGGUCUUUAAAACAGCUCCAUCUUGAUGAAACAGGAUGUUUUGAUGAAACUUUAAUUCAUUGACAGCACUUUCAAAUGUAAAUAGCAAACCAAAUUAUCUGGCUUCAGAAAACAUUUGGCAGAGAGAACAAACAUUUUUAGUGUCACCUGAGAUAUUUUAAUAAAAGGUAGAAUAACAAGGAUAGUAGUUGAUAAACUCAGAUUUGGAAUUAUUCCCAACACUUUCCAGUAAGGAAGCCUCAAGUUUUUGAAACAUUAUGUAGCUCAUAAGCACUCACUGGAUGUUCUGUUGGGUUUCAUUUAAUCCCUGCUUAGAUGUAUUCCUCUCCGUUUAGUAGAAAUACAGAGCAAAAACAAGCAAGGGAUGUGCUAUGAUUACCAAUUUAAUCCAAGGGUUUUAUUUCCAUCUUGUUUUCACUCUUUCUUAGAUACAUGCAUUGUCUCAGCUUAGACAAGUGAGUACUUCAGUGAGAGGGCCUUCAUUUUGUUAUAUUUGGUAUCUGUUCUACGUAUUCAUUUGUGACAGACACUACAGUAUGUCAUAAAUACUCAUUACUCAUAAUUUUGUUUGCUAUAUUUUGCUCCAUCAUCUGCUCUCUUUUUCCUAGUUAAAAUAUUAAUUAUACUUCUGGAGUUGCUAGGUACUCCUGAUGUUAGCCUCUGGGCCUGUUGUGUUACACAUUAAACAAACAUACAGUAAAAAAAAGUUUCAGAAUUCAGGGUUGGAUGCAAGGGAAGCAAUGUAUCUGCAAUGUUGGAUGCAAUGUAUCUGGGGAUGUAUUGAAUUAUAAGAACAGUAAGACAAAUUAAUCUGUCCUUACACAUCUGUGUGUUUUAGAUUACAGUUCCUAAAUACUUCAUGCUAUAGCAAGAAGCUCAAUGCUACAAAGCUAGAUUUCUUCAAAUGUAUUUGAAUUGUUUCUCAGUGUUUUCACUGUAAAGCUUACAUUUAAUUCUCAUAGCAUUUUUUUAAGUAUAGGUUAUCCUCUAGGUCUCUAAGUUCCUCAUCAAAACAAACAACUUCACUUUUUAGUCAUGUAUAGGAAUGUGAAGGAAAUGCACCACAUUAAUGAUGCAUAUUAUAGGAAAUCUACAAAAUCUUUGCAUAUUGUAUAAAACUCCUGACUUUCUGUUAGCUAAUAUGUAAAGAAGGCUGGAGGGACUGAAUGUAAGGCAUUGUGUGGGCAAAACAGUGCUAGAACAAAAAAAAAUAGUGCUAGAGGAAAAAAAAUACAUAGAAUUGCUAAGGCUGGAAAAGACCCACAGGAUCAUCCAGUCCAAACAUUUGUGUCAUAUCAUUCAAUGUGAUAUGGUCUGUGCUGGAACAGUUUGUUUUCUACUACCUGUUUUGACUUCGUUUCUAGUACCUGUCAAUAUUGUCCAUGCUUAGGGCCAAUGUAUGUACAACUGUAUGUAGAACAAAGUAUGCUGACUGUUGCACAUAAUGCAACAUAAUUCAUAGUCUCAGGUAUGUCACAACAGGUGAUUUGAAGAUGUGUAUGUAUACAUAUAUACUUAUUCUAGAUUGGAUGUAAAUUCUAGUUGUUAUUGAAGAUAUAUUUUUAAUAUUUUUUAAUAAUUGAAUAUGUGGAAGUGGACAGAGGAAAUCUAACACAAAUGCCAGCAAUACAGAGUAGGAAGAGAAAAUAAACAACCAGAUAACUCUAAUAUAUGAGCAAAACAACACUAGAAACAUGACUCUGAUUGGGUAAAAGCAGGUUGAGAGAGCCUUUUGUUAUUUGAUUCCCUCUAUGUUUGGAUUAACACAACUAUAAUUUCAGAGUGGCCAGAACUGUUGGGUAGUAAUGAAAGAGAUGGUUAGCUAUUCUGCUUAAAGAAAGCAGUGACAACAUAUAACUGGUUGUUAAAUGUGCUGUGUUGAUAAUAACUUUAUCAUUUAGUAGAUUUAAUAUUCAGAGAACUAUAGAAUGGUUUGGAUUGGAAAUGGACAACCCCCCCUGCAAUAGGCAGGGACAUCUCCCUCUAGACCAGGGUUGCUCCAGCCUGGCUUUGAAUGCUUUCAGGGAGGGAGCGUUCACAACCUCACUGGGCAACCUGUUCCAGUGUCUCAGCACCCUUACAGUAAAGAAUUACUUACAGUAAAUAAUUACCUACCCUCUUCCAGUUUAAAGAGGCAUCCCUUCGCCCUGUUGCUACCUGCCCUUUAUAUUUUUUUUCCUGCGAUACUUCUCCUCUGAAGAAAAUUCUGACUAAUUAAUUUUAGUGUCUGAAAAGUUUUGUUUUCUAACCUGAAAGAAGACCUUUUUAUGAUUUCUCAGAAACUCAUACACAGCUUGCACUUUCUACAGAGAUGUACAGACAAUGCUGUAACCUCAGGGCUUAUUUUACUUUUGCAAUUCCAUUCUUUAGUCAGUUUUGUAAAUAUAUAGAAAUUUGAAUCCUUUUUCAAAUGCUACAACAUGAACUUUAGUCACAGAGAACUUUGUUUGCUGAGAAAAAUAAAGCAGAUUGCCAAUCUAUAAGAUUUCUGGCAAAAGCUUAAAAAAAAUGCUGACAUUUUAAAAAUAAAUUAAGGAAGAAAUUAUCUAAUUGAGGUGAGAUUUAUAAUUUAAAAAAAAGAACCUCCAACCAUGCCUCCAGGAGGUAGCUACCAAAUUUGGUCACUGGAUGCAUAUAAUUACAUCACUAGAAAUCCGUAACAUGAGACCUCAGAGAGUUCCGGGGACAGAAGAGGGCCGAGUUCAAUCCGGGUGUUGUCCAUAUAUGGCUGCAAAGGACAGCCGGUGUCUGCGUGGAUGCAGCACAGCCGUCAGCACAGAACUGGGACAAAACAGAGCCACGACAGCGUGCUCCCGCCAGCAGCCUUCUUCUGGGAAUUUCAGGAAUGCCCUCAGCACUUAUUCAGCAGGAAGCUAUCGGUUAAAGGCACACCGCCACGGUUCUGUGCGUUUCUUUACUGAAGAAGCUUGUGUCCCUUUCCAAUAGAUGUUACUUAGUUACAGGGGUAGAUGAUCAUGUGUUUUCUGUAACAUUUAAUCUUUUUAAAUAUGAUCUGCUCUUUCCUACCUAUUUUUACUGCCCACUAUUUACAUAUAAACUAGUGUUGCCUUUUACUUCCCACAUAGUGAAUAUCUAUUUCUGAAACAAAUUUAAUAUGUUUGAGUCUAAUGAGUCAUGAUGAAUAACCAUUUCUUAGUCAUGAGGAAUGCCACAUUAGAAUGAUAAGAAAUGCUUCUGAGAGCAAUUCACAGUGUAUUUCAGAAUGUGAAUGAUUUGACAGAUAAUGAAAAAAAAUAAGUCUGUACCUUGAACAAAUGUUGAUAUUUGUGAAUGGAUAGAUUACUUUACCAAGAGAAGCUGAAGACUUCAAGGCCAUCUGUGAAUGGACUGUCCAGCCUUAUGUGCCCGAAGAAUCAUAAGUACGUUUUGAGUGUUCUACAAAAGCACAUUCCUCAGGUAUUGCAGACCAUCAAGAUGCACUGGGGAACUGGUAUUUCUGUCUACUUCAUUAUGAGAAUAGAAGCCAGGAUACAUCACCUUUGCCUUCCCUCUUUCCAUUUGUAGAGAUUUAUGCAGCUCAUCAUUUGUUAACGGAAUGGAACUGUAUGGCAAAUGGAACGGAACAUGCUAGCUCUACAGGAAACAAAAGACUUUUCAUGUGAGAACUGCAGCAAGGAAUUUGUCAGAGACUGGGAGAGGAAGGCAAAAGAAGCUAAUAUUGAAAUGCAAAUUAUUAUAAGUGAAAGGAUUUUCUCCAUCUUCACUUAGUUUCUGCAGUUUAUAUCCUUAAAAUAAAAAGGAGUAGCUGAAAAUAUGUUACAAUAAAACCCAGUAACUUUGUCUCUUUCAUAUUCUCAGUCUUUGUUUUAUUUGGAGACUGGUACACAGAAUUUUAUCUAUAAAUCAAGCUCUUGGAAAUAAACUUGCUGAAAUCGCAAUCAGAAUCAAAUAUUUAUGUGAUGAUUUUUGUGAGAAGUUCAGUAAACGCGCUGUCAUCAGAUAAAUUCUCAAGAAAACAUAUCAGAUUCUUUUUUCCUCAGCUUGGAAAAAUAUGAUUCAGUCAUGUACAAGAAAAUUAUGCUUAACAAAACAGCUGCCUGAGCAGGCCUGCACAGCAGCACCUCCACCACACUGCCCAGUUUUUUUUCCCCCCAAUUGUUAUGGUGUAACAGUAUUCUUUUGACAUUUCCAACAGCUGACACUUGGACACUCACAGACCUGCUCUGCUGUCCAUCCCCAAACUGAUCCUGUUUGCUCCAUUUCCCCCUUGCUGUUGGUCUCCCUUCCCUGUGCUUUGAGCCAUUUAAGGCUGAUGGCUUCUCGUUCGUCAUCACAAUCACCUUGCCUUCUCCUAACAGAAAAUACAGAUCAUAUAAUCAUAUACCCAUACUCUUCUUUAUCUCACCUUGUUUACACUCAUGCUUUUCACUCUAACUUUAUUGUUAAGCUCAGCAAAUCUAUAUAAGAGAGGUGCAGGAAACCACAUCAUAUUUAUUCUUGUGCUCCCCUUGGUUAUUUCACAAAUUCACUCCUUUGAAAGUCAGAAGCAUUUUAAUUUCCAGUCUAAGUUCCCAUUUUAUUCAUGUUGUAUAUCUCUUUGUUCCUUAUGGAACAAUAUCCUUAUUCUGGAUAACAUUCAAAAAAAAAAAAAUUACUUUUGUUUCUCUAAAUUCCACAAAAUGUGUAAUUUUCUUCCAGACCUCUUCUUUUCCCCAAACAAAAGGUUGAGAACUGUACACAUUUUUUCAUUAUUUCAUUUUUUCAUAUUUUUUCUACCAGUACUGAUUACAAAGGCAUUCAUACAUAAUGUUGAAAAUGCCUCUCCUAAGACAUCCUCAGACUGCCUACACAUUUGACUUCUUUCUUCCACCUGGAGAUUUAGUCAUCCACUGACUUAUUAAUACAAAUAAUUUUUUUCAACUUCUUGAAUUUGCUUGAACUUUAUCCCAGACCACUUGUUUAGGCAUUUCAAUGCAGGCUACAGCAGUUCAGCUUACAUUUAUUUAUUUCUAACUAGUGGGCCUUGUAUGGGAAAGCUGAGGGCCCAUUACUUUCUGUUAGUCAUGAGAUCCCUGUGGAUUUUAUUAAUAAA
ensembl:lncRNA